rnacentral:rRNA from 1 species
AUUGAACGCUGGCGGCAUGCCUUACACAUGCAAGUCGAACGGUAACAGGUCUUCGGAUGCUGACGAGUGGCGAACGGGUGAGUAAUACAUCGGAACGUGCCUAGUAGUGGGGGAUAACUACUCGAAAGAGUGGCUAAUACCGCAUGAGAUCUACGGAUGAAAGCAGGGGAUCGCAAGACCUUGUGCUACUAGAGCGGCCGAUGGCAGAUUAGGUAGUUGGUGGGAUAAAAGCUUACCAAGCCGACGCUGUGUAUCUGGUCUGAGAGGACGAUCAGGCACACUGGGACUGAGACACGGCCCAGACUCCUACGGGAGGCAGCAGUGGGGAAUUUUGGACAAUGGGCGAAAGCCUGAUCCAGCAAUGCCGCGUGCAGGAUGAAGGCCUUCGGGUUGUAAACUGCUUUUGUACGGAACGAAAAGCCCCGGGUUAAUACCCUGGGGUCAUGACGGUACCGUAAGAAUAAGCACCGGCUAACUACGUGCCAGCAGCCGCCGUAA